UGGGGAAUUUUCCGCAAUGGGCGAAAGCCUGACGGAGCAACGCCGCGUGGGGGAGGAAGGCUUUUGGGUUGUAAACCCCUUUUCUCAGGGAAGAAGGUCUGACGGUACUAGAGGAAUCAGCAUCGGCUAACUCCGUGCCAGCAGCCGCGGUAAGACGGAGGAUGCAAGCGUUAUCCGGAAUUAUUGGGCGUAAAGCGUCCGUAGGCGGUUCAUCAGGUCAGUUGUUAAAGACUGCAGCUCAACUGUGGGCGAGCAACUGAAACUGAUGAACUAGAGUGCGGUAGGGGUAGAGGGAAUUCCCAGUGUAGCGGUGAAAUGCGUAGAUAUUGGGAAGAACACCAGUGGCGAAGGCGCUCUACUGGGCCGCAACUGACGCUGAGGGACGAAAGCUAGGGGAGCGAAAGGGAUUAGAUACCCGUGUAGUCC
rnacentral:rRNA from 1 species